GAUGAACGCUGGCGGCGUGCCUAAUACAUGCGAGUCGAGCGAACAGAUGAGGAGCUUGCUCCUCUGACGUUAGCGGCGGACGGGUGAGUAACACGUGGAUAACCUACCUAUAAGACUGGGAUAACUUCGGGAAACCGGAGCUAAUACCGGAUAAUAUAUUGAACCGCAUGGUUCAAUAGUGAAAGACGGUUUUGCUGUCACUUAUAGAUGGAUCCGCUCCGCAUUAGCUAGUUGGUAAGGUAACGGCUUACCAAGGCAACGAUGCGUAGCCGACCUGAGAGGGUGAUCCGCCACACUGGAACUGAGACACGGUCCAGACUCCUACGGGAGGCAGCAGUAGGGAAUCUUCCGCAAUGGGCGAAAGCCUGACGGAGCAACGCCGCGUGAGUGAUGAAGGUCUUCGGAUCGUAAAACUCUGUUAUUAGGGAAGAACAAAUGUGUAAGUAACUAUGCACGUCUUGACGGUACCUAAUCAGAAAGCCACGGCUAACUACGUG
rnacentral:rRNA from 1 species